AUGAGAAAAACCACUACUUCACUUGUUCUAGUUCUCCUUCUUGUGGCAAUACUUUUGAAUGGUGAUAGUGUUGAGGGUGAAGGAAGAGGGAGUCCACCAAAGAAAGAUGAUGGUAAUUUCAAAUCUCAAAAGUCUUGGAAGUGUAUAGAUUGUAUGAUUUUGCAUGGAAUGUGCUUGAAAACUCCUUACCUUUGGCCUGUGCAUAAUAAGUUUUGUUCUUCUAUCGGUCGCACAAAUGUGGCACCUAAAGGCAGGGUUGCUCCUAAACUUGAGAGUGAUAUCCAUGAUUAG